GUUGCAUGUUGCAUGGAAAUUGAUAAUAUCACGUACAGAAGGAGAACCGUACUUCUUUACAUUUGGAAAAUCAGAGGGGGACUCACUCCUUGCUGCUCUUCCAAUGACAGUUUCUCUUUUAUGUUCUUAAUUUUCUGAUGUUGGAAAGGCUUAUAUGAGCAAAUUGGCAUGACAGGUUUUUGGUGCUCUUAUCAUUGAAAAGCUUCUUUCUGUUCCUACCAUGCCCAUGUACCAGUAGUAUAGAACAUUUGAGCCAAAGUCUAUGAGGUCUCAUCACCAAUUUCUAUAUGUUUUCUUUUGAUUAUAUCGAUGUUGAUUCUCACCUCUUCAUCAUCCUCUCAUCCUCU